AUUGAACGCUGGCGGCAUGCCUUACACAUGCAAGUCGAACGACAGCAUGGAGAGCUUGCUCUCUGAUGGCGAGUGGCGAACGGGUGAGUAAUGCAUCGGAACGUACCGUGUAAUGGGGGAUAACGUAGCGAAAGUUACGCUAAUACCGCAUACGACCUGAGGGUGAAAGCAGGGGAUCGCAAGACCUUGCGUUAUACGAGCGGCCGAUGUCGGAUUAGCUAGUUGGUGAGGUAAAGGCUCACCAAGGCGGCGAUCUGUAGCGGGUCUGAGAGGAUGAUCCGCCACACUGGGACUGAGACACGGCCCAGACUCCUACGGGAGGCAGCAGUGGGGAAUUUUGGACAAUGGGGGCAACCCUGAUCCAGCCAUGCCGCGUGAGUGAAGAAGGCCUUCGGGUUGUAAAGCUCUUUCGGCCGGGAAGAAAUCGCACAGGCUAAUACUCUGUGUGGAUGACGGUACCGGCAUAAGAAGCACCGGCUAACCACGUGCCAGCCGCCGCGGUAA
rnacentral:rRNA from 1 species